UGGAGAGGCAGUUCUGUGUGAGU
rnacentral:miRNA from 1 species